rnacentral:rRNA from 1 species
AUUGAACGCUGGCGGCAGGCCUAACACAUGCAAGUCGAGCGAGCGGCGGACGGGUGAGUAAUGUAUGGGGAUGUUCCCGAUGGAGGAGGAUCACUAAUGGAAACGGUGGCUAAUACCGCAUACUAUCGGAUGAACCCAUAUGGUAUUAGCUAGUAGGUGGGGUAAAGGCUAACAUAGGCGACGAUCUAUAGCUGUGCUGAGAGGAUGAUCAGCCGAAAUGGGACUGAGACACGGCCCAGACACCUACGGGAGGCAGCAGUGGGGAAUAUUGCACAAUGGGCGAAAGCCUGAUGCAGCCAUGCCGCGUGUAUGAAGAAGGUCUUAGGAUUGUAAAGCACUUUUAGUGGGGAGGCGUGACCAGCAGAAGAAGCACCGGCUAACUCCGUGCCAGCAGCCGCGGUAAUAC